rnacentral:rRNA from 1 species
UACGUAGGGUGCGAGCGUUGUCCGGAAUUACUGGGCGUAAAGAGCUCGUAGGUGGUUUGUCGCGUUGUCCGUGAAAACUCACAACUCAAUUGUGGGCGUGCGGGCGAUACGGGCAGACUGGAGUACUGCAGGGGAGACUGGAAUUCCUGGUGUAGCAGUGAAAUGCGUAGAUAUCAGGAGGAAUACCGAUGGCGAAGGCAGGUCUCUGGGCUGACACUGACGCUUAUGCACGAAAGCGUGGGGAGCAAACAGG